GCCCGAAGAAACAACGAGUGAAUACACGCUUCUGGUGUUUCGCAACGGGGACGACGCAACGCCCAGCACAAGCCGUGCAAGCACCGAAGACGCUUCAUCCACUCUGGGCGACUACACUAGGGUUUCUGACGAUCCCGAGGAUGGCCAACAAUGCACGCUGUACAACCUGGAGACCUCCACAAACAACGUCUGCGGUCGGCCCGGUAUUGCACAACCUCCGGGAUUGGCGCACAUUUUUGCCCACGGGCAUGGACACGAAAAUGCCGACCAACUAGAGGCUAACAGCUUCGCUGUAAAACACUUCUGACGGCAGCACUCUUCCCCAGUCCGGUUUCCUUACCG